GAUGAACGCUGGCGGCGUGCCUAAUAUAUGCAAGUCGAGCGAACAGACGAGGAGCUUGCUCCUUUGACGUUAGCGGCGGACGGGUGAGUAACACGUGGAUAACCUACCUAUAAGACUGGGAUAACUUCGGGAAACCGGAGCUAAUACCGGAUAACAUGUUGAACCGCAUGGUUCAACAGUGAAAGACGGUCUUGCUGUCACUUAUAGAUGGAUCCGCGCCGCAUUAGCUAGUUGGUAAGGUAACGGCUUACCAAGGCAACGAUGCGUAGCCGACCUGAGAGGGUGAUCGGCCACACUGGAACUGAGACACGGUCCAGACUCCUACGGGAGGCAGCAGUAGGGAAUCUUCCGCAAUGGGCGAAAGCCUGACGGAGCAACGCCGCGUGAGUGAAGAAGGUCUUCGGAUCGUAAAACUCUGUUAUUAGGGAAGAACAAAUGUGUAAGUAACUAUGCACGUCUUGACGGUACCUAAUCAGAAAGCCACGGCUAACUACGUG
rnacentral:rRNA from 1 species